CUAUGUAGAUGAGGCAGCGCAGGGGCUGCUGCUUUGCCACGAAAGAGUUCCCGUGCCGUGGGAGCAAGUCUGGGACCGCUGGUCGGACCGGAGAGUCGCAGCUGUGUGUUAGGGCUAGGAUGGCUCCGGGAUGCGCGUGACGCAAGUGACCUUGCGUGUAAAGGGAUACAUGAUCCCUUAAUUCAGGCUCAGGCUGAAGAACUGACCCACUUACGACAGAAGACACAGGAAGGGAGAGGUGUCUGCUACCUUUUUACCCAGCAUGUGAAGAACACAGUCAAGUCUUUUGAGGGCCUUCUCAGGAACACUGGCAUUGCCUACUACCAGAGACAGAGAUUCUGUGAGCAAAUGGUACAAGGAAGCCAGCUGACAGAGAUCCUUGUCAGAAAACUUGUCACAGGUAAGUUGGCUACAGGCUCUGAAGACCCUUAGCUCCUCCCAAGUGUCCCAAAGUGGGGAGAAAAAAUGCAAACUUAUCUCCAUUGUAGAUUUUAUUUUAGUUUUGACUAUGGUCCUUAAUCUGCAUUCUAUUGUUUUCUCUUUAGAGCACUCAGGUAAUCACUUUUCAUAUUCUUUCAAGAAUUCUAAGUUUUGUUUUUUAUUUUGAGACAGAAUCUUGCUCUCUUACCCAAGCUGGAGUGCAGUGACACGGUCUUGGCUGACUGCAAUCUGUGCCUCCUGGGCUCAAGCAAUCUUCCCACCUCAGCCUCCCAAGUAGCUGGGACUACAGGUGUGUGCCACCACACCUGGCUAAUGUUUGUAUUUUUUGUAGAGAUAGGGUUUCUCCAUGUUGUCCAGGCUUGUCUUGAACUACUGAGCUGAAGUAAUCCACCUGCUUUGGACUCCCAAAGUGCUGGGAUUACAGAUAUGAGCCACUGUGCCUGGCCUGAGAGUUCUUAGUUUCAAUCAGUAAGAGAGGUAGAGUAUAGUGGAUUACUUCAUCUUGAUGAGCAUAAGAACUCACCUUCAUUUCUGGAAGAUGUUUUCACUGGAUGUAGGAUUCUAGUUGACAGUUUUUGUUUUAAAAAAGUGUUUGAAAAGUGAUAUUCCGCUGUCUUCUGGCUUACACUGUUCCAACAAGAAGUCUGCCAUAAUUCUUAUUUCUGUUUCUCUGUACAUAAUAUGUC
rnacentral:lncRNA from 1 species